GAUGAACGCUGGCGGCGUGCCUAAUACAUGCAAGUAGAACGCUGAAGCAGGAGGUUUCUCUUCUUGAUGAUUGGCGCACGGGUGAGUAACACGUAGGGAACCUGCCCGUUAGCGGCGGAUAACUAUUGGAAACGAUAGCUAAUACCCCAUAACAGUAUAUGUUGCAUGUCAUUUACUUAUAAGAUGCAAUCGCAUUACUACUAGUUGGAGCUGCGUUGUAUUAGUUAGUUGGUGGGGUAAUGGCUCACCAAGGCGACGAUACAGAACCGACCUGAUAGGGGGAUCGGCCAACCUGGGACUGGGACACGGCCCAGACUCCUACGGGAGGCAGCAGUAGGGAAUCUUCGGCAAUGGACGGAAGUCUGACCGGGCAACGCCGCGUGAGUGAAGAAGGUUUUCGGAUCGUAAAGCUCUGUUGUAAGGGAAGAACGAGUGUGAGAGUGGAAAGUUCACACUGUGACGGUAUCUUACCAGAAAGGGACGGCUAACUACGUG
rnacentral:rRNA from 1 species